CUAGCCGCCAACCCUUUUCGUGCCCACUCCGCCUCAUUCUCCUCCCCGCUCGCUCCUAUCCUCCCCCAUGCCGCCGCCCCCUUCCCCCCGCUCGCCUCUGCCGCCUCCUCUCCUUCCCCGCACGUCCGGCCUACCCCCUCCUCCCUCCUCCUCCAUCCUCCCUCAUUCGUCAUCACGGCAGACCAUCUCCCGUCACUUGGGCCCCAUGCUGGCGGCCGGGUCGGGGUGGAGGCGCAGCAGGGCUGCAGGGGCCCUACGUGUACUACCUCUACAGCCAGUACGGGUUCGACAAGGGCGACAUCGGCCGCCUCUUCAUCGCCGGCUUUGGCUCCUCCAUGCUCUUCGGCACCAUCGUCGGGUCGCUCGCCGACAAGCAGUGCGUGGGGAAGGAAGAGGGCGUGCAUCACCUACAUCCUCAGCUGCAUCACGAAGCACUCGCCGCAGUACAGGAUUCUGAUGAUAGGCCGUGUGCUUGGAGGCAUUGCAACAUCGCUGCUCUUCUCGGCAUUCGAGUCGUGGCUCGUGGCGGAGCACAACAAGGGAGAGUUGACUGAUGUACAUGAGACCCAGGCGAAAAUGAGUGUGCUAGCGGAGGCUCCAGGGAUGCAGGGUGAUAGGGCCCAGUCUAUGCUCCGGUUGUGUUGUUGGGGAAGCUUCGGACGGGAUUUAGAUAAGGAAAAGGAGUCCCGUGCGAAAUCGAGCGUCCUGGUGUUGGGACUGAUGAUCCGCACUUGUUGUCUAAAUGCAGAACAUGCGCAUUGCAGUGCUUUCUAUCAGUACCGACGACCACAAAUGGGAUGGAUCGAGCAACCAAGACUCAGAGUGUGGUUGACAGUGCGGCCUGCUCCCAACCCUGCAGGUGCCUUACUGUACCAUGCCGUCUCCUGCGUGCCAUGCCCAUCAAACCCAACCAUCAUAUGAACCAUGCCAUGGCUCAGCCGCCUCAAUUUUUAGCGCCAACAACGCUUUUCCCUGACAAGUUUUCUUAGCCAUGGACAGUGAGGUCGCCCUUCUCUGAUUUUCUCCGAUUUCUUCAUUUUCAGUUGUGAUGUUUGGAGCAAGUAUUAAUGGUGAUAAUGAUCUAAAAUAAAAUAGACCAAUGGUAUACACAAAAAGAUACAGUAGGGGCCAAUUGGGUGCCUAGCUUCUUAAACCAAUGAUAUAUAUAGAAUAUUAUUUGAGUAGAAUAGGAGAGAUGCAAUUUGAUGAAUAGUUCAGCAUUUGUAAGAACUUUCCAGCUUACCAAGUGGACUUGACAAGCUCAUGUGUAGGCCUUCAGGUGUCAAAGUUUGUCUGCAAAAUUUAUCUUGUUUUAGUAUGCUCAGAACAACUAAAGAAACACAAUCAUGAUUUUAACAAAAGUUAAUUGGACAUUCUAUUGAAUUUCAUGGUACACCAUCCAUUUUUCGAGGGAGUAGAGGCAUCAUGCCGUGUAACAUUUUAGUUUUUUCUUAGCUACCUGGCGCCUAUAUUUUUGGAAGGUAUAAAUAUCUUUAACUCUCAUGAAUCCUUAUAUUAUUACGGCCAUAUGAUAGACUCGUCCAGAUUAGUUAUUUUAGCUAUGUAUGUGCAGUGUUGGCAAUACAUGGGAGUGUAGUUUUUGUUGCAUGUGUAGUUCUAUGUUUGGCCCUUUGAUCUUGAAAAACAACUGCUUCUUGCCGCUCUUCAAGUUAUGUCUUUUGGGACAAUUUCAAGUGCCUCACUUCCUCUACACAUGGAUCCUGUAGGUAUAUCCUAAUGUAAGUGACACUGUUUUCCUUCUUUAUGUACCUGGACGGGAGUGCUCAUGAGGAUGACGACAUGCUACUGAACUCAAUUUCAGAAAUGGAAUUGGGGCCUGGGGUUUGGAGCCCGCCCCUCAUUAGAAGUGCCCAGGCGGCAUGUCACAGUUUUUUGCUGAGAAUUUACUAAGAACAAUUUUUGCUUGUCUUUAGCAUGAGGCUAUAAGCCCUAUAGCAGUUCCAGUGUGAUGGUCUACCACUUGACUAGGAAGGGGGGAUUGAAAGAUAGCACUUGUCGUUUGGAUCAAUUAGUAUUGGAUAUUUGAGGAAGUAAAUGUUUAAACCACUAAACCUUAUAUUCUUUCGUGAAAAGGUUAUGUGUUUUUAAUCCAUUAGCAGAGUUAGUUUGUCUAAAAUAACUAACUAUUUGGACUAAUAUGGAAUGAUAAAAAUUUCAGAACUAGAUGUAAAAUUUGAUGCGCAUGGCUUUGUUUAACUUGCAGUCUGUAUUUCUAAUAUCUUCUUUGUUGCUGAGGUUGCUUCUAGGUUUUAUUACUGUGGAUCUAAUUUAGAUAAUUUGUAAAUAAUCCUAUGUAGGAGUAUGCUCAUCUAUAACAGUUGGGGAGGGAAAUCGUAUGAAUUACAUAUUUUGUCAAAAAUUGGCAUUACUAUAUGCAUAAAUCUAAAUUAUUGUUCAUAAUGGAUUCACCACUGCUCUACAUAAGCUACAUUUGCUAAUUGCUAUGUAUAUAAGCUGAAUUAGUACCACUACUUCCUGUUUUCUUGCUUGCAAUACCAUGUAUUACCUCUUUACUUUGUUCUCCACAUUUUAAAUUUUGUCUUUCUUUGCAAGUAUAGUGGCCAACUUAUGGUCUGCAUUGUGUAUAACCGAAAUGAUUGUAGUUUCCUAAUACCAUUAUCUAUAACCGAAAUGAGUAGUUUCGUAAUACCAAAGCAUGUGCGCUCACGUAUUUGUCUCUUAGUGUUGCUGAAUGCAUGAAAACCAUGCCCAUGGCCAAAAGCUAAAAAAGUACGAGAAAUUGGGUUUUCAUUUCUCUUAGAAUUGUACAUGUUCAUGUUGUUGUCAUUUUUUCUGAAAUUUAGACAACUCUUUUCGCUUAAUAAUAGUUUACCGAUUUCAGUGCAUCCUAUAUAUAUGUAUGUUUUGACUGAUUGGUCGUCCUCUCAUUCGGACUUACUCAGUGUUGCGUUUGUGUGUUCCUUUAUCAUGCGCUGCUUAUUUUUUGGUUGUGUGAGCGGGUUGUGUGUUGUUGUUUCCAUCCUCAUUUAGUAUGCUGAUGUUUUUAAGAUGACCUCUAUAUUGCUGGAAACUUAAAUUUUAGUUCAUACAUUUGAGCAACUAACUAGAUUAAAAAAUAAUUUCUGUAAGAUUGAGGCCAGUUUAUUUGGUAAGGUAGAAGAAAAAUAAGAUGAAUACGCACAUGUUAUUACUGUACAAAGGCUAAACACUGAAUAACACUGAUGGUUCUUUCCUGAGGUUGAGUAGGAGUGUAUCCCUUUUCUGUAUAAUUAUGUCUUCGAAAUUGCCGAAAGAAUAGCUAGGUUCUAGAACAAACAUGCUAUGAAUAAUUGCAUUACUACUUCAGUGAAAAGUUCCUGGGCAUACUAUGUGUUCCUCUAGACUUGGUUGAAAGUAUUUCUUUUGUUAUCCGAUUUCUCACUAGGUACCUUUGUUGAUGAAUGUGUUCCUCUAGACUUGGUUAUAUAGACUCACAUGAUUACCUGAUGCGGAUUCUACAACUUGGAAAACACAUCUAGAAUAUUCAAGUUGUCUGUGGUGCCCUGGAGAAAGCUUGCUACUCCAAUCAACCACCUUACACGAGAAUCCAGAAUUGAUUUGUCAUUUCAUGUUUGCACUAUUAGAGUUUACCAACAACGCAUCAAGGACAAAGUGUGUCAUGGAUUCCUAAGUUCCAGCUAACAUAGCAAAAUUGUAUAGAGAGAAUACCUGCAUUUUGCUAUUACAUAGUUUGAGGCUAUGUUUCUUGUAAUUUUGAUUAUUAAAAGGAUAUCAUUGCCAAAUUAUCAAGCAUUUAUUUAUUUUCACAUAACUCUUGAUUUGAAAUGGGACCUUGCCCCAUUUGGCGCAAUGAGUAAUGUUAUUAUAUGUCUUAUUGUAGACAAGAAGCCAACAUUCUUAUUGUAAACAGCAAACCUUUGUUCUUUUUUUUGUUAAGAGGGGUUAAAUUUGUUACCAUAUGUGCUUGCCCACAACUGAACUAUGAAUUUUCUUUUCAAUGUACAUAUGGAGCUUGCCCACAACUAAACUAUGAAUUUUCUUUUCAAUGUACAUAUGGAUUCAACGGGUCUCUGUGCCCUUUUUGGCGAUGGCACUCUUGCUCUAAAAAAAGGUUCUGUACCCAGUUUUAUUCCACAGGUUCUGGGAGAUCCUUCGUGUAAAUGAUAGCAUGCAAAAAUGUCAUAUAUUUUGUGAUGGAGGGAGUAUUACUUAUCCAUGUUAAUAUUGUGAAGGAUAAGUUACAUAGGGGAGAAACUUUAUCACCAAAUAAAGGCUUUGAUAUGCAAAUAAUUCUCUGUUCAGAUCAUAUACGCCUAAGUUGAGAAAAAUAAUGGCUUUAAGUUCUUUGUUAAAU
rnacentral:rRNA from 1 species